GAUGAACGCUGGCGGCGUGCCUAAUACAUGCAAGUCGAGCGAACAGAUGAGGAGCUUGCUCCUCUGACGUUAGCGGCGGACGGGUGAGUAACACGUGGAUAACCUACCUAUAAGACUUGGAUAACUUCGGGAAACCGGAGCUAAUACCGGAUAAUAUAUAGAACCGCAUGGUUCCAUAGUGAAAGACGGUUUUGCUGUCACUUAUAGAUGGAUCCGCGCCGCAUUAGCUAGUUGGUAAGGUAACGGCUUACCAAGGCAACGAUGCGUAGCCGACCUGAGAGGGUGAUCGGCCACACUGGAACUGAGACACGGUCCAGACUCCUACGGGAGGCAGCAAUAGGGAAUCUUCCGCAAUGGGCGAAAGCCUGACGGAGCAACGCCGCGUGAGUGAUGAAGGUCUUCGGAUCGUAAAACUCUGUUAUUAGGGAAGAACAAAUGUGUAAGUAACUAUGCACGCCUUGACGGUACCUAAUCAGAAAGCCACGGCUAACUACGUG
rnacentral:rRNA from 1 species